GGCACAGUGGUCUAAUGGUAUGACUCCUGCUAUGUAAGGACCUGCUAAAUGGAUGCAGAGAGUGGGUGAUCUGGGUUCAACUCCCAGCUGAGCCA